ensembl:misc_RNA Metazoa_SRP Metazoan signal recognition particle RNA
GCCAGAUGUGAUAGCAUGUGCCUGUAAUCCCAGCUAUUUGGGAGGCUGAGGCAGGAGGAUCUCUUGAGCCCUGGAGUUCUGGGCUGUAGUGUACUAUAUAGAUCGGAUGUCCCCACUCAGUUUGGCAUCAAUAUAGUGACCUCCUAAGAGCAAGGGACCACCAUGUUGCCUAAGGAUGGGUGAACUGGUCUGGGUCGAAAAUGGAGCAAGUAAAAACUUCUAUGCUAAUUACUAAUAGGACUGUGCCUGUGAAUAGCCACUGCACUCAAGCCUGGGCAACAUAGCGAGACCCUGUCUCUU